UUCCGAAGGCCCCAUUGCAAAGUUUUUAGUGCAGGUUUGUUCAUGCUUAGUCUCGGCUGAAGCCUGUGACAUGGUGGCUUGUGUUUCAUGUUAUUCUUACUCAAACUGACUAGAAUGGGUCUGACUGCACAGAACUUCAGGUAAUCAUGCUGUUAUUACUGUAUCAAAUGUGAAGGCAGAAACAGACAUACCUCCAGAUUACCUUUUAGAUUAUUCUCAAAAAUAGUAAUUCACACACAUAUGAAGUUAUAUGAGAGCUGCUUUAUUUUGAAGGAAACGGUUCUAGAAAUGUAUUGUCUUUUUUAAAUCAUAAUCUGCUUAAGUGGACUUGCUUCUCUAGUAGAUGAAUAAUUGCUUUCAUACUUACAAAUCUGGAUUUUAUGUCAAUGGCCUACAAUUCCGGUAUGCCUGGAAUUGCUCCUGCUUCCACAUGACCACCCUUGCAGCCUGUGUAUUGCCUCCUUACUUCCUCUGAAUUACAGCCUGCUGUAUGUAAGCAAAUAAAACCUGUGCCUGUUUCCCUUGGAAUACAAGACUGUAAGCUACAGAUAUCCAUUUCUUUUCGGCAGCAGCAGUUGUUUGUAGCUGUAAAUGGCUGAGUCACAGAGGACUGUCUUUCUCAAGCCAUUGGACAAUAGACAGGUGAUCCUACAAAGCAUUUUGUUUCCCUUCUGGGACAAAAAGCGUUAUAAUGAAUGGCCUCACCUCACACAAGGCAGUGCAAACAAAUGA
rnacentral:lncRNA from 1 species